ACGGAGGAUGCAAGCGUUAUCCGGAAUGAUUGGGCGUAAAGGGUCCGCAGGUGGCUAUGUAAGUCUGCUGUUAAAGAACCUAGCUUAACUAGGUAAAAGCAGUGGAAACUACAAGGCUAGAGUGCGUUCGGGGUAGAGGGAAUUCCUGGUGUAGCGGUGAAAUGCGUAGAUAUCAGGAAGAACACCAGUGGCGAAGGCGCUCUACUAGGCCGCAACUGACACUGAGGGACGAAAGCUAGGGGAGCGAAUGGG
rnacentral:rRNA from 1 species